rnacentral:rRNA from 1 species
AUGAACGCUAGCGGCAGGCUUAACACAUGCAAGUCGAGGGGUAGAAGGAGCUUGCUCCUUUGAGACCGGCGCACGGGUGCGUAACGCGUAUGCAAUCUACCUUUUGCAGAGGGAUAGCCCAGAGAAAUUUGGAUUAAUACCUCAUAGUAUGUGAGGAUGGCAUCAUUUUCACAUUAAAGUCACAACGGCAAAAAGAUGAGCAUGCGUCCCAUUAGCUAGUUGGUAAGGUAACGGCUUACCAAGGCUACGAUGGGUAGGGGUCCUGAGAGGGAGAUCCCCCACACUGGUACUGAGACACGGACCAGACUCCUACGGGAGGCAGCAGUGAGGAAUAUUGGACAAUGGGCGCAAGCCUGAUCCAGCCAUGCCGCGUGCAGGAUGACGGUCCUAUGGAUUGUAAACUGCUUUUGUACAGGAAGAAACACUACUUCGUGAAGUAGCUUGACGGUACUGUAAGAAUAAGGAUCGGCUAACUCCGUG